rnacentral:rRNA from 1 species
UACGUAGGGUGCAAGCGUUGUCCGGAAUUAUUGGGCGUAAAGAGCUCGUAGGCGGUCUGUCACGUCGGCUGUGAAAACCCGAGGCUCAACCUCGGGCCUGCAGUCGAUACGGGCAGACUAGAGUUCGGUAGGGGAGACUGGAAUUCCUGGUGUAGCGGUGAAAUGCGCAGAUAUCAGGAGGAACACCGGUGGCGAAGGCGGGUCUCUGGGCCGAAACUGACGCUGAGGAGCGAAAGCAUGGGGAGCGAACAGG